AGCGAACGCUGGCGGCAGGCCUAACACAUGCAAGUCGAACGGCAGCACCGUAAGAGCUUGCUCUUACGGGUGGCGAGUGGCGGACGGGUCAGGUAUAUAUCGGAAUCUACUUUUUCGUGGGGGAUAACGUAGGGAAACUUACUCUAGUACCGCAUACGACCCACCGGGGAAAGCAGGGGAUCUUCUGACCUUGUGGGAUUGAAUGAGCCGAUGUGGGAUUGGCUAGUUGGGUGGGUAAAGGCCCACCAAGGGGGCGAUCGGAAGCCCGUGUGAGAGGAUGGUCGGCGACAUGGGAGGUGAGGCAGGGUCGAGACGCCUGCGGUAGGCAGCAGUGGGGAAUGUUGGGCAAUGGGGGCGAGCCUUAUACAGCGAUAGCGCGUGGGUGGAGAAGGCGUUCGGGUUGUAAAGCCGUUUUGUUGGGAGAGAAAAGCAGUCGGUUAAUACGCCGCGGUAGUGACGGUACCCGGAGAAGAAGCACCGGCUAACUUCGUG
rnacentral:rRNA from 1 species